rnacentral:rRNA from 1 species
GAUCCUGGCUCAGAUUGAACGCUGGCGGCAUGCCUUACACAUGCAAGUCGAACGGCAGCACGGGAGCAAUCCUGGUGGCGAGUGGCGAACGGGUGAGUAAUACAUCGGAACGUGCCCUGUUGUGGGGGAUAACUAGUCGAAAGAUUAGCUAAUACCGCAUACGACCUGAGGGUGAAAGCGGGGGACCGAAAGGCCUCGCGCAAUAGGAGCGGCCGAUGUCUGAUUAGCUAGUUGGUGGGGUAAAAG